UACGAAGGGUGCAAGCGUUACUCGGAAUUACUGGGCGUAAAGCGUGCGUAGGUGGUUGUUUAAGUCCGUUGUGAAAGCCCUGGGCUCAACCUGGGAAUUGCAGUGGAUACUGGGCAACUAGAGUGUGGUAGAGGAUGGCGGAAUUCCCGGUGUAGCAGUGAAAUGCGUAGAGAUCGGGAGGAACAUCUGUGGCGAAGGCGGCCAUCUGGACCAACACUGACACUGAGGCACGAAAGCGUGGGGAGCGAACAGG
rnacentral:rRNA from 1 species